rnacentral:rRNA from 1 species
GAUGAACGCUAGCGGCAGGCUUAACACAUGCAAGUCGAGGGGCAGCGCGAGGUAGCAAUACUUUGGCGGCGACCGGCGCACGGGUGCGUAACGCGUAUGCAACCUACCCACUACAGGGGGAUAACGGAGGGAAACUUCCACUAAUAUCCCAUGGUGUUGUUUUUUCGCAUGGAGAAACAACUAAAGCUUCGGUGGUAGUGGAUGGACAUGCGUGACAUUAGGUAGUUGGCGGGGCAACGGCCCACCAAGCCGACGAUGUCUAGGGGAGCUGAGAGGCUUAUCCCCCACACUGGUACUGAGACACGGACCAGACUCC